rnacentral:rRNA from 1 species
UACAGAGGUCCCAAGCGUUGUUCGGAUUCACUGGGCGUAAAGGGUGCGUAGGCGGUCGGGUAAGUCUGACGUGAAAUCUCCAAGCUCAACUUGGAAAUGGCGUCGGAUACUAUUCGGCUGGAGGAAUGGAGGGGAGACUGGAAUUCUCGGUGUAGCAGUGAAAUGCGUAGAUAUCGAGAGGAACACCAGUGGCGAAGGCGAGUCUCUGGACAUUUCCUGACGCUGAGGCACGAAAGCCAGGGGAGCAAACGGGG